GCAGGGGAGACAGGUGGUGCAUGGUUGUCGUCAGCUCGUGUCGUGAGAUGUUGGGUUAAGUCCCGCAACGAGCGCAACCCCUAUCCUUAGUAGCCAGCGAGCAAGACGGGCACUCUAGGGAGACUGCCGGGGAUAACCCGGAGGAAGGUGGGGAUGACGUCAAAUCAUCAUGCCCCUUAUGGCCUGGGCUACACACGUGCUACAAUGGCGUAAACAAAGGGAAGCGAAGGCGUGAGCGUAAGCAAAACCCAAAAAUAACGUCCCAGUUCGGAUUGUAGUCUGCAACCCGACUACAUGAAGCUGGAAUCGCUAGUAAUCGCGGAUCAGAAUGCCGCGGUGAAUACGUUCCCGGGUCUUGUACACACCGCCCGUCACACCAUGGGAGUCGGAAAUGCCCGAAGUCGGUGACCCAACCUGAAAGGGAGGGAGCCGCCGAAGGCAGGUCUGGUGACUGGGGUGAAGUCGUAACAAGGUAGCCGUAUCGGAAGGUGCGGUUGGAUCACCUC
rnacentral:rRNA from 1 species